CGUUCGGACAUGGAGGAAGUGAAUGGCCUGCUGCAGUCAUCGCAGAGGAAUCCUUGAACAUGGCUGAAAUCUGCAGCUGUCAAGCGAGUGUUUGAAAUGGAAAUGUCGGAGCUGUGCGGAUGAUGAAAGUCAAGGGUGUUCCUGAUGCUGCCAAGUAGUUUCCUGUCUACUAACGAAGGAGGGUCAGAGAACAGCAGGGCAUUUGGGCUCUUCCACAGAGCUAGAGCAUGAAGAAGAUCAUGGCGCCUGGCUGGAACUCUGCCUGCUGGCGGGUGGAGGUUCUUUGCGGCCUGCUGGGCAGGGUGUGGCUGGACUGUGGAAGUUCAUUUCUUGUACAGGAUCUUUGCUCUUCUAUGGGAUGAACUCAGCAAAUGUAGGGAAUGUGCAGGUGGUAUGAUUUCUCAUUCAACAGACCCUCAUGGUGGCAAGCAUGCUGCUCUGUCCCUAAGGAUACGGUGCCCUUAACCAUCUUCAAAGUAGAGGGGUUUGGGCAGUAGCCUGGUGAUGUCAGUGUGCAGUGUUGAAGUCUACCCUCAUGUGUGUGUUUAUGAGUGACUGCUCUGCACAAGUACACACAAGUGUGGGCCUACGUGUGUUUAGUGUGUAAAUGUGGGUGUGUAUAUUUGUUGACAGCCUUUCUUGCUUCGAUUCACCACCCUAAGGAGGCGCACACUCCUGAUUUUCCUCUCCGCUUUGCUCAGAAGUUCAGGCCCAUCUGGAGACGGGCAUACCAUGGCCUGACAUAAGAGUCAGGAAUAGGAAAUGGGGUCCAUGGAGAGACUCCUACAUGAAGCCAGCAGUGGUGAGAGACAUCUGCAUCUUUCAUAUAGCGGCAGGAGAAACUUCCGGCUGCCUACAGGGCCUGCUGCUAUGGUUUGUGGGUGUACAACAUCAUUGUCCCCACAGAGACCUGGCUCAAGAGCCCUCUAGGCAAUACUAGCACGGCUGGCCUUUGGGAGCUUCACCUCCUAUAAUAUAGGGCAAAGGCAAUUCCUGGCCAGAGCCAGGGUCAACUUCAGAACUCAGAAUGGAUGGUCACAAUUCCCCGGCAGCCAUAGCUACCUGACUGCUCCAAGGUCUGACAGACGCUGUCUCAUGAGGCAAUGGAUAUGUCACCUUUCUCCUCAGACAAAGCAGCUUUUCUGGAAGCCACUCAGAGUGAGCCACACAAAGGCCUGGCUCUAGCUCUGCGGUUAUGGUUGCUCUCCUGAGCUGUUUGCAUCAGGACCUCUAAUGUCCACUUCUUCAUCAGGCCCAGUCUGUUGCUGUUAUUUUUCCUUCCUAGACUCAGUAGAUCCUGACAGCCUUUUCACUUGUGGAAAGCGUGUGUUGAAGACACCUGUCUCCAUGUGCUGCUUUAUUGAAUAAUCUUCUAUCCUCCCAUUUAUGACUCUAGAAAAUAUGCAUUUCAUGUAGUCUAGAAGGGUCUCUCAGCAACUGUUUUUCCCUCACUGACAGAUUGAGUAUCAUGCUAAACAUAUCUCGGACACACCCUAAGCACUUGCUUCGAUGUGAACACCAGGGAGACGUGCUGGAUCUAAACCCUGGCACACAUGAGGAGUUGCGGUUUGUAGAAGAGGGGGGAAACAGGAACACGGAGAGUUUGUCUUGUUCUCGGGGUUGUUCAAAACAAAAGCAAGUGGCCGUGGAGAUGGCUCAGCCAUACAAGAAAGAAAACUCAAUUUUGUGCCUCAGGAAAAAAGCCUUCAUGUGAAAAAGCUAAGUAUGGUGGCACACACUUACAACCCCAGCACCGGGAGGCAGGACAGCUAGAUCCAUGGGACUUGCUGGCCAGACAGACUAGCCUGACCUGUGAGCUCCAGAUUCAGUGAGAGACUACGGGAGUCACCUGAGAAAUGAUACCCAAGGUUGACAAUAAAUUCGGUUGAGUCUGGCUCACAUAUGCAAACACACUCACGUGCACACACAAGCAUGUAUAUACACAGAGGACUGAAGGGAAGCCAGUCUAUGGAAACGGAGGUCACCUCUGUGGAUUCCUCUCUCCUGCCUAGUCUCCUGACAUGGGCUGAAGGUUGGCUUUUUGGUAAUGAACUCAUGCUGUUUCCUCAUUGGUAAGGCCAGGCCAAAGCAAAACAACAUUUCAGAAUCUGCAAUUCUAAUCUUCUAUUCAACUCCAGGAGAGCCACAAUUCCCUUACAAGCUGCCAGACUUGAAAACGCCUCUAAUUUGAUUACAGGUGUCGAUGUCUUAGAUCAGAGAUGAUAUUUCUGACCCACAAAGGCAGCUGAGCAGGGCCGUAGCUUUUGCCUCCUGAGUUAAAACAGGACAACCUUGGUUUCCAUUCAUUAGUCAAUCGACAUGUGGGAUGGUUUUGUGAUCUUUAAACCAAUUUGCCUUUGCUGUAUUAAUUGUAGGAAGGUGCAAAGAGGCUUUCUUUCGGGUCCUUAUUUUUAUUUUGUAUUUUUUUCCUCUCUCACGCAGCCAUCUAGAGACUGGAACAAAUACAUGAAGAUAUGGAAAUGUAGCUGAGCAGUUGGCUUCACAUAAUGGGACCCUUUCAUGCUUCCUCCAGAGGCUUCUAUUCAUGUAUCAUGAUGCCAAGUUCUGGCAAAUAAGCCAAGUUGGAUUAAGUUACAGCCAAGUAUGUUGACUUUACCCAUUCAAUUUAUUCUUGGCAAACUUCAGAGAGUAUUUAUAAUAAAGUCCCAUUUCGAACAUUCGAGGGCCCCAGCGGAGUUCUAAUAACACUGGGUAUUUAUUUAAUGUCUAACUGUAAGAGUUCAAAGCACUUUAUAGGCAUUCCUUGACUGAUCUUAACAUCCCUGCAAGAUUUUACAGCUUGGACAAGUCAAUCGAGGCCCCGAGACCUGCCCGGGAUCACCCAGGAAGACCAUGCUACUUUCCUAAGUUAGUCAUGCUGCCGACGCGCAGAGGCUCCUGUACCUUAGCUGGCGACUGCAUUCUCCAGCCCUUAUCUCAGUGCCGCUGAGUGGAGAGCAUUUGUUUAUUUCUCCAUGGAGAUCUUUAAUUAAGGAAAGCAGAAAGCCCCACAAACACUCUUGCCUGCGCGUCACUGCAGUAA